rnacentral:rRNA from 1 species
AUUGAACGCUGGCGGCAUGCCUUACACAUGCAAGUCGAACGGCAGCACGGGUGCUUGCACCUGGUGGCGAGUGGCGAACGGGUGAGUAAUACAUCGGAACAUGUCCUGUAGUGGGGGAUAGCCCGGCGAAAGCCGGAUUAAUACCGCAUACGAUCUACGGAUGAAAGCGGGGGACCUUCGGGCCUCGCGCUAUAGGGUUGGCCGAUGGCUGAUUAGCUAGUUGGUGGGGUAAAGGCCUACCAAGGCGACGAUCAGUAGCUGGUCUGAGAGGACGACCAGCCACACUGGGACUGAGACACGGCCCAGACUCCUACGGGAGGCAGCAGCGGGGAAUUUUGGACAAUGGGCGAAAGCCUGAUCCAGCAAUGCCGCGUGUGUGAAGAAGGCCUUCGGGUUGUAAAGCACUUUUGUCCGGAAAGAAAUCCUUGGCCCUAAUACGGUCGGGGGAUGACGGUACCGGAAGAAUAAGCACCGGCUAACUACGUG